rnacentral:rRNA from 1 species
UACGUAGGGGGCAAGCGUUGUCCGGAUUUAUUGGGCGUAAAGAGCGUGUAGGCGGCCACACAGGUCUGCUGUGAAAACUCGAGGCUCAACCUCGAGCUGUCGGUGGAAACCGUGUGGCUAGAGUCCGGAAGAGGAGAGUGGAAUUCCCGGUGUAGCGGUGAAAUGCGCAGAUAUCGGGAAGAACACCCGUGGCGAAGGCGGCUCUCUGGGACGGUACUGACGCUGAGACGCGAAAGCGUGGGGAGCGAACGAG